GACGAACGCUGGCGGCGUGCUUAACACAUGCAAGUCGAACGGAAAGGCCCUGCUUUUGUGGGGUGCUCGAGUGGCGAACGGGUGAGUAACACGUGAGUAACCUGCCCUUGACUUUGGGAUAACUUCAGGAAACUGGGGCUAAUACCGGAUAGGAGCUCCUGCUGCAUGGUGGGGGUUGGAAAGUUUCGGCGGUUGGGUAUGGACUCGCGGCUUAUCAGCUUGUUGGUGGGGUAGUGGCUUACCAAGGCUUUGACGGGUAGCCGGCCUGAGAGGGUGACCGGCAACAUUGGGACUGAGAUACGGCCCAGACUCCUACGGGAGGCAGCAGUGGGGAAUAUUGCACAAUGGGCGGAAGCCUGAUGCAGCAACGCCGCGUGCGGGAUGACGGCCUUCGGGUUGUAAACCGCUUGCGCCUGUGACGAAGCGUGAGUGACGGUAAUGGGUAAAGAAGCACCGGCUAACUACGUG
rnacentral:rRNA from 1 species